GAAUUGAUCAGGACAUAGGGUUUGAUAGUUAAUAUUAUAUGUCUUUCAAGUUCUUAGUGUUUUUGGGGUUUGGCAUUAAGAGGAGGGGGUGGGGGGUUUGGAGAGUUAAAAUUUGGUAUUGAGUAGCAUUUAUGUCUAACAAGCAUGAAUAAUUAGCCUUAGGUGAUUGGGUUUUGCGGACUAAUGAUUCUUCACCGUAGGUGCGUCUAGACUGUGUGCUGUCCUUUCAUGCCUUGACGGCUAUGUUGAUGAAAGUAGGCCAAAAUAAAAAGAUACCAAAUGCAUGACACCACAGUUAUGUUGGUCAUGGGCUGAUUAGACCCGAUACCAUCGAGAUGUCUUAUUUAAGGGGAACGUAUGGGCGAUAACGCAUUUGAUGGCCCUGAAGUAAGAACCAGAUGUCUGAUAAAGUUUCAGUUUAGCUAC
rnacentral:lncRNA from 1 species